rnacentral:miRNA from 1 species
GAUUUUUCACGUAAUCAUA